rnacentral:rRNA from 1 species
AUGGCGACGGCGAUCCCGUCCCUGCUCGCGGCGCUGCUGGCCGGCUGCGUCAUCCUCGCGGUGCCGACGACGGCGACGGACCACGUCGUCGGGGGCUCGCUCUGGUCCAUCCCCACAAGCAGCGACUACUACCGCAACUGGGCGGGCAACACGACGAUCUUCGUCGGCGACAACCUCGUGUUCAGGUUCGACGCGGGGAUGUACGACGUGGUGGAGGUGGGGGGCUGGGAGUACAAGGCCUGCUCGUGGGUGGACCAAUACUCGGACACCUUGAAGAGCAGCCCCGCCGUGUUCCACCUCGACUUCGCCGGCGUCAAAUACUACGUCUGCACCAUCGGCAACUACUGCUCCCUCGGCGUCAAGAUCUGGGUCUCGGUCCAGCAGGCCUAG